AAAAUCCAUUAGACUAAACGAGGACUACAGUAGUCCUUGAAUUAAAUAAGAAUGAAUUAUGUAACUUUUACAUUUUAAGGCAAUCAUGAGAUAAUAGAAAAGCUAUUCAUUAUUCAUGUAUUAUAUAUUGGGUUCAGAACCUGAAUGAUCUUAACUUCAGAUCAUUCGACAUUGACUGCAUAUUAUACAUUUGAUCAAUUAUGUAUUUCAAAAUGACAUCAUCUGAAUAGUUAAUCAAAACUCUUAAGGUAAGUUGACUGAAGUGUUAACGCACUCAUUUAGAACGCAUAAUUUUUCCCUUUUUCUUAUUAUUUAUAAUCCUGGAGUCCAUCUUUAUUGCAAUAGCUUCUUCUAUAUUUUGAGGAUCUUUGGCAAAGCCUCUUUUUUAAAUAGUUUAAAGUAUUUUCUUCUUCUUCAAGAAAAAAGAAAGAAAAAUGUAAGGAAAUUAGAUAAAAGAGAAGAUAUGGAUGAAAUUGGAACGGUUUCAUGAUCGAAUAAGUGUGAUUUACUCACAAUUUCAAACCAUAUCGUUAUAAGGGUAUCACUACCGUUACGUCAUAGAAAAACAAAUACAUUACUGAUUACUCCGAUCAAGGGAAGUUUAAUUAUGAUUCUUUGCCGGGACUUAAACGAAACUUUUCUUCGUUACAUCAACUUAGAGAGCACUAUAUACAUGGAGAGUUUACGUAUUUUCUGAAAUCACAUUAUGGCCAUGGGUAGCGAUUUGAUUAAUUAUUCGACCAAACGACAUCAUAUUUGGAAAUCUAUCUCAUGUAUUCAUGAGAAAGGUUCGUUUGCCAAGAAGAAUCCCUCUAUUUGUCUCCUAGUUUCCGUUUUCCUAUUUCUUCAGAAAGAGUUCCAAGGGGGGGUUUCGAAUGACUCAUCAUUUUCACUUAGAUGCUAAUGUAAAAGAAGUGUAAUCCUCAGAAUAGGUUUCCUUAUUGACUAAGGAACGAUUAAUGAAGAAAGUGAAGAGCUUUUAUCGUUUUGAAUGUAGAUUGGAUUGGACGGACGACAAAAUCAUUUAUAUGAGGAAUAAUUACGUUCUAGCCUCUAAAUAAAGGCAACGAUAACAUCUAUCAAGAAUUUAUUUGCAAAUAUUUCAUAAAAAUAUAAGCACUAAGUGAAUCGGUGCCCUCUGAUCUUUUCUGCAUCGGAAGGAAAUAUUGAUGUUUUUUAUAUUUGUUGUAAAUUUCCAAACAUUUCUGGAUUAGACGCUUUUUACUCAUAAUUAUCAUUUUUUUCUUAAUUUUUAUUCAUAAUUACACCAUCUUCCACUUUUACCAAUGUCAUUUCUUUUUCAGAGAUGAAAAUGACGAAAUGUUAGUUCAUAAUAAUUUUUGAAUUCUAAUUUUCUUUUUCGCUUUCUAAAAAUUGCCUACAAAUUAGAAAAUAAUUUAUUUCACCAAGUUGCCGAAACCGUGUGAAUUGAUGUUUUGAAUGUUUCUUUUGACAAACAAUUUCGCCAAAUGAAUUCAAAUAUUCGAUUUGCCCACUUUCAUCACAGGAAAUUGAAAAAGGAUUCAAUGUAUAAGGAUGAUAUUCGUAAAUCCGCAGUUCAUCAAAGUAAAUUUUUCGAUUUGCUGAAUGCCAAUCUAUUAUAACAGCUACAACAUUAAAUCCAAUAAAUGAUGAACUAAAGUAUUUUUCAAAGAAUCCAAAUGUGUGCCACUUGAAUUUAAUUAGAACUCACGUUAUAGUCAACUCUUGCAGAGAAGCACCUCGUUAUCUAUCGUGUAUGACGCAACCUACCUAAAAAAAGAAAGAGAAAACAGGCCGAAAAUCAUCUGUCAGACUAUCACUGACUUAUUAUUUCUUCACCAUUUUUAAAAUAAAUUACAUAUUAUUAAAAUAUACAUUGUAUUUUAUUCGAUACUGUAUUUAAUAUUGCUGAGUAACAUUUGGUUAGAAGAGUAGUUAUGAUUAGUUAUUAUAUUAUUUCUAUGAA
rnacentral:lncRNA from 1 species